rnacentral:lncRNA from 1 species
CCUCAGGCCGGCAUGGGGAAUCAAGGGCGGAGAUGGAGAGAGAGUGACGGGGAAGAUGGUCGUUCCAACUGCCACUCAGACGUUCUUCUCCCGAGAAGCCUCCACUGGCUCCAAGGGAAGGAGCGAAGGCCUUCGGAGAGAAACGUGAAUUCAGGAGAGCUCUGCGGAGCCGAGAGAGGAGAAAACUGCGCACCCGGGAGAGCGUCUCGGGGCGGGGGCGGAGCGCUGCUGGCAUCUGCCGUCCUCCCCUGGCUGUGCAGGAAUGUCGCACGAGCCGCGGUCGUCGCGGGUCCCAGGCGGGAAUGGGGCGGCCCUGGGCGGGUCUCUAUCCGCGUGUGAGCGGCUGGGGGCUCUAUGCGGGACUGGAACUCCUCAGCAAGUUGCCACAGUUCUAAAUUGCUGGUUUUCUAAGAAGUACUCUAAUCCCAACACCUGCUCCCCGGGAGGACUUUAAAUGACUGUUUACGCAGCAUAAAACGUUUUUUCAAAUUCUUGGUCUGCAAUGAAAUUUGGACAAAAAGGAUUUUCUUUUUCAACACGAUUAUAUUUUGUCACUGUUUUGUUUUUGUACAUUAAAUUACGUAUGAUGCUAUUUUUGAUUACCAAAGGAGUGUCAAAAGUUUUGCCCAAACCAUGAUCAGCGGAAUUAUUUCCUUUAUUACUGGUGAUAAUAAUCUUUAGUGUUUAAUUGGAGGCCGCCCCCGAUCCCCUCGUGCUGAAUGACCCGUGAGAGAGCCAGGGGUUGCUUAUACCUGCGCCUGCUGGGCCGGCAAGGGGGUUCUUCUGUUGGAAUUAUUGAUUUACCCUUCUCUUUUCUCUCCAAAGAUUUGCAAUACACUGUUUUAUUUGUGCCUCCUGAAGGGGAGUCCCAGCAUGUGGCUUCUGCAGGUUUUGAGUUAUAAACAACAGCUUGGUAUUUCUGUAUUUGUAUCUCCCAUCUAUUACCAUCUGUUUCAUUCCCUCUUCCCUCCAUCUUCAUCUAUUUCUGAUCUGAACCCCUGGCCAUGGCCACAGCCAACGCUGCAAGGACGAGUUCUCAGUGGACAGGGACUGCAGGACCCUCUUGGCAGGCUCCCGCUCCUUGAGCAUCUCUUUGUGAUUCCUUCGUCUCGCUUAGUGACUGGCCCCAGCCCUAGGCCACUUCUCUUAGACAUUAUUUUAAGUAUACCAAUGAGGGGUUCAGACAAAUGAACUCCCAGGAUUCCACUUUGCAUACACAGCAGCCUGGCAUGCAUAAAACCAAGGAGGGGGCCACCAAAGGAGGAAUUAUUUAGGGAAUAACUGAGGUCAUGGUCCAAAAGAAAUGGGUUUCUAGGGCCAGCCUGGUGGCACAGCGGUUAAGUGCACACGUUCCUCUGUGGCGGCCCGGGGUUCGCUGGUUCAGAUCCUGGGUGCGGACAUGGCACCGCUUGGCAAACCAUGCUGUGGUAGGCGUCCUACAUAUAAAGUAGAGGAAGAUAGGCACGGAUGUUAGCUCAGGGCCAGUCUUCCUCAGCAAAAAAGAGGAGGAUUGGCAGCAGAUGUUAGCUCAGGGCUAUUCUUCCUCAAAAACAAAUUAAUUCAUUAAAUGAAAUAAAUUAAAGAAAGAAACAGUUUUCUGAUAGUAC